UACGUAGGGUGCGAGCGUUGUCCGGAAUUAUUGGGCGUAAAGGGCUCGUAGGCGGUCUGUUGCGUCGGGAGUGAAAACUCAGGGCUUAACCCUGAGCCUGCUUCCGAUACGGGCAGACUAGAGGUAUGCAGGGGAGAACGGAAUUCCUGGUGUAGCGGUGAAAUGCGCAGAUAUCAGGAGGAACACCGGUGGCGAAGGCGGUUCUCUGGGCAUUACCUGACGCUGAGGAGCGAAAGCUAGGGGAGCGAACGGG
rnacentral:rRNA from 1 species